GACAGAGGGUGCGAACGUUGUUCGGAAUUAUUGGGCGUAAAGAGCUCGUAGGCGGUGUGUCACGUCGGCCGUGAAAACCUGCAGCUUAACUGUGGGCGUGCGGUCGAUACGGGCAUCACUGGAGUUCGGCAGGGGAGACUGGAAUUCCUGGUGUAGCGGUGAAAUGCGCAGAUAUCAGGAGGAACACCGGUGGCGAAGGCGGGUCUCUGGGCCGAUACUGACGCUGAGGAGCGAAAGCGUGGGGAGCAAACAGG
rnacentral:rRNA from 1 species